rnacentral:rRNA from 1 species
GGCCUAACACAUGCAAGUCGAACGGAAAGGCCCUUCGGGGUACUCGAGUGGCGAACGGGUGAGUAACACGUGGGUGAUCUGCCCUGCACUUCGGGAUAAGCCUGGGAAACUGGGUCUAAUACCGGAUAUGACUAUGGCCUUCAUGGGUUGUGGUGGAAAGCUUUUGCGGUGUGGGAUGGGCCCGCGGCCUAUCAGCUUGUUGGUGGGGUAAUGGCCUACCAAGGCGACGACGGGUAGCCGGCCUGAGAGGGUGUCCGGCCACACUGGGACUGAGAUACGGCCCAGACUCCUACGGGAGGCAGCAGUGGGGAAUAUUGCACAAUGGGCGCAAGCCUGAUGCAGCGACGCCGCGUGAGGGAUGACGGCCUUCGGGUUGUAAACCUCUUUCAGCAGGGACGAAGCGCAAGUGACGGUACCUGUAGAAGAAGGACCGGCCAACUACGUGCCAGCAGCCGCGGUAAUACGUAGGGUCCGAGCGUUGUCCGGAAUUACUGGGCGUAAAGAGCUCGUAGGUGGUUUGUCGCGUUGUUCGUGAAAACUCACAGCUUAACUGUGGGCGUGCGGGCGAUACGGGCAGACUUGAGUACUGCAGGGGAGACUGGAAUUCCUGGUGUAGCGGUGGAAUGCGCAGAUAUCAGGAGGAACACCGGUGGCGAAGGCGGGUCUCUGGGCAGUAACUGACGCUGAGGAGCGAAAGCGUGGGGAGCGAACAGGAUUAGAUACCCUGGUAGUCCACGCCGUANACGGUGGGUACUAGGGUGUGGGGUUUCCUUCCUUGGGAUCCGUGCCGUAGCUAACGCAUUAAGUACCCCGCCUGGGGAGUACGGCCGCAAGGC